GUGGCUCCAGCUCGAGUUGUUGUGGUGAUGCUGCCGGCGGCCAGCAGUGCGCUGUUGUCUGUGGCCGCAGACACCAUAAUUGUGCCAUCCCCGCAACCGUUCAUCUGGCAGAAGGCGCAUGCCACAUUCUACGGUGGCGCUGACGCCUCCGAUACAAUGGGUGGUGCAUGCGGGUAUGGCAACCUCUUCUCCGAAGGAUACGGGACACGCACGGUGGCUCUAAGCACCGUGUUGUUCAAUGAUGGCGCCACGUGCGGGUAGUGCUACAAGAUCGCAUGUGAUCGCAAGCGUGCGGACCCGUUGUUUUGCAAGCCUGACGUGACAGUGACCGUCACGGCCAUGAACUUCUGCCCUCCCAACGAUGCUCUCCCCAAUGAUAACGGUGGCUGGUGCAACACGCCAAGGCCGCACUUCGACAUGGCCCAGCCGGCCUGGGAGAAGAUCGGUGUUUAUAAAGGUGGCAUCAUUCCUCAUGUACCAAAGGUAUAUAUGUGCUUCUUACCGGUUCAAAAAUUAGUCCAAAGUCACCGGAGCCACAUAACUUCAACAUUUUCUAUGCCACUACCAUGGACCUUUGGGCAAACAUUUGUUAGCAAACUGCAAUUCUAG
rnacentral:rRNA from 1 species